rnacentral:rRNA from 1 species
GAUGAACGCUGGCGGCGUGCCUAAUACAUGCAAGUCGAGCGAACAGACGAGGAGCUUGCUCCUCUGACGUUAGCGGCGGACGGGUGAGUAACACGUGGAUAACCUACCUAUAAGACUGGGGUAACUUCGGGAAACCGGAGCUAAUACCGGAUAACAUGUUGAACCGCAUGGUUUAACAGUGAAAGACGGUCUUGCUGUCACUUAUAGAUGGAUCCGCGCCGCAUUAGCUAGUUGGUAAGGUAACGGCUUACCAAGGCAACGAUGCGUAGCCGACCUGAGAGGGUGAUCGGCCACACUGGAACUGAGACACGGUCCAGACUCCUACGGGAGGCAGCAGUAGGGAAUCUUCCGCAAUGGGCGAAAGCCUGACGGAGCAACGCCGCGUGAGUGAAGAAGGUCUUCGGAUCGUAAAACUCUGUUAUUAGGGAAGAACAAAUGUGUAAGUAACUAUGCACGUCUUGACGGUACCUAAUCAGAAAGCCACGGCUAACUACGUG